GAUGAAGAACGCAGCGAAAUGCGAUACUUGGUGUGAAUUGCAGAAUCCCGUGAACCAUCGAGUCUUUGAACGCAAGUUGCGCCCGAAGCCAUUAGGCCGAGGGCACGCUUGCCUGGGCGUCACACGUCGUUGCCCCCCCAUCUACUCCUUCGGGAUUGCGGGGGGCGGAUGAUGGCCUCCCGUGCGCCUCGCCGCGCGGUUGGCAUAAAUGCCAAGUCCUCGGCGACGCACGCCACGACAAUCGGUGGUUGCGAAACCUCGGUUGCCCGUCGUGUGCGGUCGUCGCGCAUCGAGGGCUCGAAAAAAUUGCCGGGUUCCGGCUCGGCUUUCAACGCGACCCCAGGUCAGGCGGGGUUACCCGCUGAAUUUAAGCAUAUCAAUAAGCGGAGGA
rnacentral:misc_RNA from 1 species